AUGCAGUCUCACUGGUCAAUUUUUGGUGACUACAGUGUCCCUUUAAGGCCAAAGAAGUCAAGCUGGAAGCAUAGCUGACUUGGAGAAUGUUUCCAGUUCGGUUAAUUUGUCCAGAAAAAGACACUACAGGCACCCAGACCACUUCAGCUGAUUGAAGUGGUCUGGGAGCAGUGUCCCUGCCCCCCUUAGUCCUGCAAUGUGAAUAAUUUCAGUUUUAGAAAAGCUAAGACAGCC